CCUACGGGCGGCUGCAGUGGGGAAUAUUGCACAAUGGGCGCAAGCCUGAUGCAGCCAUGCCGCGUGUGUGAAGAAGGCCUUCGGGUUGUAAAGCACUUUCAGCGGGGAGGAAGGCGGUGAGGUUAAUAACCUCAUCGAUUGACGUUACCCCCAGAAGAAGCACCGGCUAACUCCGUGCCAGCAGCCGCGGUAAUACGGAGGGUGCAAGCGUUAAUCGGAAUUACUGGGCGUAAAGCGCACGCAGGCGGUCUGUCAAGUCGGAUGUGAAAUCCCCGGGCUCAACCUGGGAACUGCAUUCGAAACUAGCAGGCUAGGGUCUUGUAGAGGGGGGUAGAAUUCCAGGUGUAGCGGUGAAAUGCGUAGAGAUCUGGAGGAAUACCGGUGGCGAAGGCGGCCCCCUGGACAAAGACUGACGCUCAGGUGCGAAAGCGUGGGGAGCAAACAGGAUUAGAUACCCUUGUAGUC
rnacentral:rRNA from 1 species